AAAAAUUUAGUAGCGAAGUUCCUGAUGUCACACUGCCAAGAAAAGCUUCUAGUGAGAAAGUAACUGCCCGUACCGCAAACCGACACAGGUAGUUGAGGAGAGAAUCCUAAGGUGUGCGAGAGAACUCUCGUUAAGGAACUCGGCAAAAUGACCCCGUAACUUCGGGAGAAGGGGUGCUGACCGCAAGGUCAGCCGCAGUGAAUAGGCCCAAGCGACUGUUUAUCAAAAACACAGGUCUCUGCAAAAUCGAAAGAUGACGUAUAGGGGCUGACGCCUGCCCGGUGCUGGAAGGUUAAGAGGAGAGGUUAGCGCAAGCGAAGCUUUGAAUUGAAGCCCCAGUAAACGGCGGCCGUAACCAUAACGGUCCUAAGGUAGCGAAAUUCCUUGUCGGGUAAGUUCCGACCCGCACGAAAGGCGUAACGAUUUGGGCACUGUCUCAACGAGAGACUCGGUGAAAUUAUAGUACCAGUGAAGAUGCUGGUUACCCGCGACAGGACGGAAAGACCCCAUGGAGCUUUACUGCAGUUUGAUAUUGCGUGUUUGUAUCACAUGUACAGGAUAGGUAGGAGCCAAUGAUACCGGGACGCCAGUCUCGGAGGAGGCAACGGUGGGAUACUACCCUUGUGAUAUGACCACUCUAACCCGCUGCUCUUAGCGAGCAGGGAGACAGUGUCAGACGGGCAGUUUGACUGGGGCGGUCGCCUCCAAAAAUGUAACGGAGGCGCCCAAAGGUUCCCUCAGAAUGGUUGGAAAUCAUUCGUAGAGUGUAAAGGCAGAAGGGAGCUUGACUGCGAGACCUACAAGUCGAGCAGGGACGAAAGUCGGGCUUAGUGAUCCGGUGGUUCCGCAUGGAAGGGCCAUCGCUCAACGGAUAAAAGCUACCCUGGGGAUAACAGGCUUAUCUCCCCCAAGAGUUCACAUCGACGGGGAGGUUUGGCACCUCGAUGUCGGCUCAUCGCAUCCUGGGGCUGUAGUCGGUCCCAAGGGUUGGGCUGUUCGCCCAUUAAAGCGGUACGCGAGCUGGGUUCAGAACGUCGUGAGACAGUUCGGUCCCUAUCCGUCGCGGGCGUUGGAAAUUUGAGAGGAGCUGUCCUUAGUACGAGAGGACCGGGAUGGACACACCGCUGGUGUACCAGUUGUUCUGCCAAGAGCAUCGCUGGGUAGCUAUGUGUGGACGGGAUAAACGCUGAAAGCAUCUAAGCGUGAAGCCCCCCUCAAGAUGAGAUUUCCCAUCACUUUAAGUGAGUAAGACCCCUGAGAGAUGAUCAGGUAGAUAGGUUGGGAGUGGAAGUACAGCGAUGUAUGGAGCGGACCAAUACUAAUCGGUCGAGGACUUAAUC
rnacentral:rRNA from 1 species